rnacentral:sRNA from 2 species
AGAAUUAGCUUCUAGGGUUCCGAUUUCGGAUUCAACCGCUGAAAUGACUGGUCCAAGAGAAGCAGGCUACCCAAAAAAGAUUUUAUCAAUCCUCACGGAUUACUAAAUCAGUAGCCCCACGGCGGGAGAAAAGCCCGGGAGAU